GCGCCACCGGGUGAGUAACGCCGUAUCCAACCUUCCCCUUAGUAGGGCAUAGCCGUAGAAAUGCGGGAUUAAAUACCCCUAUGUUAUCCGACGACGGACAUCUGAAUUGGGAUCAAAGAUUAAUCGCUAAGGGAUGGGGAUGCGUCCGAUUAGGGUAGUCGGCGGGGUAACGGCCCACCGAGCCUUUCGAUCGGUAGGGGUUCUGAGAGGAAGGUCCCCCACACUGGUACUGAGACACGGACCAGACUCCUACGGGAGGCAGCAGUGAGGAAUAUUGGUCAAUGGGCGCGAGCCUGAACCAGCCAAGUAGCGUGCAGGAUGACGGCCCUAUGGGUUGUAAACUGCUUUUAUGCGGGGAUAAAGUGACUUACGUGUAGGUUAUUGUAGGUACCGCAUGAAUAAGGACCGGCUAAUUCCGUGCCAGCAGCCGCGGUAAUACGGAAGGUCCGGGCGUUAUCCGGAUUUAUUGGGUUUAAAGGGAGCGCAGGCGGGAGCUUAAGCGUGACGUGAAAUGUAGCCGCUCAACGGCUGAGUUGCGUCGCGAACUGGGUUUCUUGAGUGAGUACGACGUCAGCGGAAUUCGUGGUGUAGCGGUGAAAUGCUUAGAUAUCACGAAGAACCCCGAUUGCGAAGGCAGCUGACGAGUCCUUUACUGACGCUAAAGCUCGAAGGUGCGGGUAUCGAACAAGAUUAGAUACCCUGGUAGUCCGCACGGUAA
rnacentral:rRNA from 1 species